GUGUCAGCAGCCGCGGUAAUACGUAGGGUCCGAGCGUUAAUCGGAAUUACUGGGCGUAAAGCGUGCGCAGGCGGUUCGCAAAGACAGGUGUGAAAUCCCCGGGCUUAACCUGGGAACUGCGCUUGUAACUAGCGGGCUGGAGUGCGGCAGAGGGGGGUGGAAUUCCACGUGUAGCAGUGAAAUGCGUAGAGAUGUGGAGGAACACCGAUGGCGAAGGCAGCCCCCUGGGCUAGCACUGACGCUCAUGCACAAAAGCGUGGGGAGCAAACAGGAUUAGAUACCCUGGUAGUCC
rnacentral:rRNA from 1 species